AUUGAACGCUGGCGGCAGGCUUAACACAUGCAAGUCGAGCGAGUGGCGGACGGGUGAGUAAUGUCUGGGAAACUGCCUGAUGGAGGGGGAUAACUACUGGAAACGGUAGCUAAUACCGCAUACCAUCAGAUGUGCCCAGAUGGGAUUAGCUAGUAGGUGGGGUAAUGGCUCACCUAGGCGACGAUCCCUAGCUGGUCUGAGAGGAUGACCAGCCACACUGGAACUGAGACACGGUCCAGACUCCUACGGGAGGCAGCAGUGGGGAAUAUUGCACAAGGGGCGCAAGCCUGAUGCAGCCAUGCCGCGUGUAUGAAGAAGGCCUUCGGGUUGUAAAGUACUUUCAGCGGGGAGGCGUUACCCGCAGAAGAAGCACCGGCUAACUCCGUGCCAGCAGCCGCGGUAAUAC
rnacentral:rRNA from 1 species